CAAUGUCUAUGUAACCAUUGAUCCCUAACUUGUGACAUUUCAUUUUACAACUGACCUUUUUACCAAUGUUCCUGGCAUGUUGAUUAAAAUAAAGCCGAAGAUAGAGUGACACCAGUGGUCACACCGCCGGACCAGGCCUGCAGACCCCAUUUUUCGUCAACGGUCACUAUGGAAUUUGAACCAAUGCCGUGGUUUCAGAUACCACCCAGCAUGCAGUGCCAUCAAGCUUCAGUAGAAUGCCGAGCACACAAGUGGGACUGAGAAUUAUAACCCUGAAGUCUAAGCAGGGGACCCCUCAGGAAUCUGGAACAAGGACCCCACAGCAUGAGCAAGUGCCAUGGUCUCUGCAAGGAAAGUCACCUGCAGUGGCAGAAGCAGCAGUGCUGAUGGCUGAUUGGACUCUUAGUUCUCCCUCUAAACGUGGAACUUGAGCCCCGGUCGCCUGAUGUCUCUACGCCUCCUUCCUUCACGUGGGGGCUCCACGAAGACAGUUGUGAAUCAUCGUGACGUCUCUCCCAUCACUAGGUCCUAUCAGCCUGCGGACAGAUUUCGAGACCCCUCCCCCAGUCUAACUGGUGAAUCUAGCAAGCAACCUGCACAGGCUU
rnacentral:lncRNA from 1 species